UCCCUAUGGCUACAGUUAAGUUAAGUCACUGACAUGCGGACCCUACCACAAAAGCAGCCCUUCUAGAAUUCUCUGGAGUCUCCAAUGCAUUCACUGCUCGCACGCGUUCGCCGCCCCCUCCUCUUCUCUCCGCUGUGCUGAAUUCCAUGCCCUAUCUCCUGCAAGCCUUUGAUCCGAUCUCCGACAUUCUCUGGGUCACUCCAGAUGUACCGAGACCUGCCUCUCCCUUCUGCUCCCUCGCCUCUGGUAACCCGUUGGUAUAUAUUGACAAUGUACGAAGAUGGUUGAGGCUAAAUUCAUGAAGUUACUAGACCACUCAAAGAUUCUUUUAUGGAAAAAGUGGCUUUAUUGUAUUGUUGAUGAUUUUGUGACAAAGCAACUUCCUCACAAUGUGACAUCGAGUCCGAGUCUGUUAUAUGCUCUGGAGCACAAGGGAGACAGAGCUUUGACUUCAAGUCAAGGAGAGCUGGCACAUGCUUUGCGGUUCUUGGCUGCAGUGGUGUCACAGAGCUUCAUAGCCUUCGGUGACAUUCUUGAGCAACAUAAGAAAUUCCUUGGACUCUCUGGUGGGAUUAACCAGAUCUUCGAGCUUGAGGAUUUUCUACAUGCUGCUUAAAGGACUUCGGAAGAAAUUUAAUCAUUUUAAUGAAGUGGACAUUAUAAUACCAUCACAGAAGCUGUUGGCCAGCAAUUUUUCAUGCAAUUUGGUGCCAGGGAAAAGCCUUCUGCUGACUGGUACACCUCUUCCUACAAGUGACCUUUAUUUGUAUUCUGCUCAGCAGCGAACUUGUAGUGACAUGUUUCAUGUACCUUGACUUACCAAGCCCUCAGAAGGAAUGUUUCAUGUUCCUCAGCAUUCGUAC